GUCCCAGUUCGGAUUGCAGUCUGCAACUCGAGUGCAUGAAGCUGGAAUCGCUAGUAAUCGCGGAUCAGAAUGCCGCGGUGAAUACGUUCCCGGGUCUUGUACACACCGCCCGUCACACCAUGGGAGUCGGGAAUGCCCGAAGCCGGUGGCCCAAUCGAGAGAAGGGAGCCGUCGAAGGCAGGCCGGAUGACUGGGGUGAAGUCGUAACAAGGUAAC
rnacentral:rRNA from 1 species